rnacentral:rRNA from 1 species
UACAGAGGGGGCGAGCGUUGUUCGGAAUUACUGGGCGUAAAGGGCGCGUAGGCGGCCAACUAAGUCGGACGUGAAAUCCCCUGGCUCAACCAGGGAACUGCGUCCGAUACUGAUUGGCUUGAAUCCGGGAGAGGGAUGUGGAAUUCCAGGUGUAGCGGUGAAAUGCGUAGAUAUCUGGAGGAACACCGGUGGCGAAGGCGGGUCUCUGGGCAUCUCCUGACGCUGAGGCGCGAAAGCGUGGGGAGCAAACAGG